UUUUUACCCACACACACCAAUUCAUCACCACAACACUCUAAUGAGUGCUGAGAAAAAAAAGCAAAAGAAAAACGAGUCUAAGUGGUGGGUGAGGCAAUGACCAUGAUUGUGCCUGUGCUGCUAUAUCCAACCAUGUCUUCCCGAUUUCCUGCAUACCCCAACGCGCAUAACCCCACUUCCAAAAAACAAAAUAUGGCCAUAUCCCCACUUUCUUAGAUGCAAAGCAAUAAACCAUAAUCAUUUAGUGAUAACCACCUUAUAUAUUAACAUUAUUAUAUACAGGCUUUCUCUCCUUUUGUUUCUUUUUUUGUUCUCAUACCUGUCCAUUACUGAUAACAAACACAGCUAAAAGGGUGGAUAUGCAUGGUAUAUCAAUACAUAGGGAGAACACAUACAGCGAGAUAUAUCAAGUUUAACCUCAUUGACUGUACUCCUGGCGGCCUCGGGGCAGAACAGGUGCACUUCUUUGGUGUGCUCUUGCUAUGUACCUUCAAGAAACUUUAUCAACAAAGGUGAAGAAAGCAACAAAACUGAGAGGGGAUCCUUCGCAGAAAAGAAAGAAUAUGGGGUCAUGGAAGAAGUCAGUACUUAUGAAUCAGUACAGGAUCAUCAAAAGAGCAAUGGUGGAAGAAAUAGGAGAAGCAGUAGUCCUAGUGGGUCUAAUAAUGGACCUCACAUAGAAACUUCUACUCUCAAGAGUAAUCUCAAGAAAACUGCUUCUACUACUACAAUUGAGGAAAAUCAAGCAAGGACAGAUCAUCAAAAGAGGAAAGUAAGUUGGCCUGAUAUUGCAUAUGGCACAGAUAUUGCUCAUGUUCUUGAAUUUGAACCGAGCAUCUCUGAUGAUGGAGAACUUGAAGGAGCAAGGAAUUCUUGUGUUUGUACAAUUCAAUGAACAAGAAAUCCUGCCAUAGAUGGAUCUCCUGGUGAUGCAAUUCUUCAAGAGCAUUUCACAGUAUUCACAUUCUUGUAUUUAUUUACAUAGAAUAAGUCCUCUAGAACAUUGAAGAUAGAAAACAUGUGUAGAAAACGAAAGGGCAGUGAAAAUUUUCCAGAAUUCUUUUAUUUAA